GUGUGUGGACACGCUCUUCCUCUGCUUCCGUGAGUGACACCCCCAGCCACCUGUCCCCAACCUUAAAGUACUGAGCCGUUCAAGCAUUUUUUUUUUGGAGAGUUGGUGCUUCUAAAAACAAUGCCUUUGUGAGCUAAACAAACCAGAGGGAGCUUCUUGUGACAUCCUGAGGCCAGGAGUUUAGGGAAGAAGGGAGAGAGUGAGCCCCCAGGCCGUGGAAGACCUGGAGCGGAACGACGGCUCCCUGGACCGGCCCUACUACAUGUCCAAGAGCCUUCUAAAGAUUCUAGGCAAGAAGAACGAGGCGCCCCCGGACAACAAGAAGAGGAAGAAGUGAGAGCUCGGCCCUGAUCCAGGACUUCACCCCACCCCCACCGUCCAGCCGU
rnacentral:sRNA from 1 species